CUUGAACCAAUUAUAGGAAAGAAAGCUGGCCAACUCGGUGCCAGCCGCCGCGGCUAAACCACAUGAGCUCAAGUUGAUAUCUUUCGGCGUUAAGCGUGAUUAAAGACCCCCCCCUAAUUAUAACAAAACCUAAACUUAACUGUGACAAGCUUGUUGUUGAAAAAAACAAAUACCAAUGUUGUUCUAAUAAACUUGAAUACACGACAGUCGGGAAACAAACUGGGAUUAGAUACCCCACUAUGCCCCACCGUAAAAUAUUUACCUACAUUACCAACGCCUGGGUAUUACGAGCUUUAGCUUAAAACCCAAAGGACUUGACGGUGUCCCAUCCAACUAGAGGAGCCUGUUCUAUAAUCGAUAAUCCCCGAUUUACCCAACCCCCCCUUGCCAAUCAGCCUGUAUACCUCCGUCGCAAACUUACCAUAUGAAUGCCAACAGUAAGUUCAAUGAUUUUACACCAACACGUCAGGUCAAGGUGCAGCUCAUGAUGGGGAAAGCAAUGGGCUACAAUUUCUAAAAUAGAACACACGGAAUGCUGCAUGAAACACAGCAUGAAGGCGGAUUUAGUAGUAAAAAGUAAAUAAAGUGUCCUUCUUAAUAAGGCCCUGGGACGCGUACACACCGCCCGUCACCCUCUUCAACAGCACACAAUAUGUUUCUAACAAACUCUGCACUUUAGAAGAGGCAAGUCGUAACAUGGUAAGUGUACCGGAAGGUGCACUUGGAUUACAAAGUAUAGUUUAAUAAAACCCCUCGCUUACACCGAGAAACUAUCUGUGCAAACCGGAUUACUUUGAGCUAAAAAUUAAGCCUACACUCUUUUUAUAAAAACUACACCUAACUAAGCCACAAUAAAACAUUUUACCAGUUUAGUAGAGGCGAUUAAAAAACUUUCUAGCGCUUUACUUCUAGUACCGCAAGGGAAUAAUGAAAUAGUUUUGAAACAGCCCUUAAGCAAAAAACAGCAGAGAUUAAUACUCGUACCUUUUGCAUCAUGGUUUAGCUAGUCUUAUUCAAGCAAAGCGAAACAUCAGUUUGACCCCCCGAAACUAAGCGAGCUACUUUAAAACAGCUUAAUAGAGCCAACCCGUCUCUGUCGCAAAAGAGUGGGAUGAUUUUUAAGUAGAGGUGAAAAGCCUACCGAGCUUAGAGAUAGCUGGUUAUUCAGGAAAAGAAUUUUAGUUCAACCUUAAGUUUAUUUAUUAACUAAAAAAAAAUCUUAAACUUAAGAGCUAUUCAAAUAAGGCACAGCUUAUUUGAAGAAGGAUACAACCUAUUAAAAUGGGUAAAAAAUUUUACACGUGCUAAGUGGGCCUAAAAGCAGCCACCUUUUAGAAAGCGUUAAAGCUCCUCUUUUUUCCUCACCCUAAUACCUAAAUACACCUUUAACCCUUUAUUACUACUGAAUGGUUCUAUAUUAAUAUAGAAACCACAAUGCUAAAACUAGUAACAAGAAAUUGAUUUUCUCCAAAAUAUAAGCAUAAGCCAAAAUGGACAGACCAUUGGCUAUUAACGUUAAUAAAAUAAUAUAGUAACUCCUCUAGAAAACACUAUUAACCCACACGUUAAUCUUACACAAGUAUAUUCCCGGAAAGAUUAAAAGAAAGAGAAGGAACUCGGCAAACCAUAACCCCGCCUGUUUACCAAAAACAUCGCCUCUUGAAAAAUUAUAAGAGGUCCAGCCUGCCCAGUGAAAUUAUUUAACGGCCGCGGUACCCUGACCGUGCGAAGGUAGCAUAAUCACUUGUUCUCUAAAUAAGGACUAGUAUCAACGGCAUCACGAGGGUUAUACUGUCUCCUCUUUUUAAUCAGUGAAACUGAUCUCCCCAUGAAGAAGCGGGGAUGAUUAUACAAGACGAGAAGACCCCAUGGAGCUUUAAACCCAAUAACAGCCUAUACUAAAUUUUUCUAAAAAUGUAAAAAGCAAUGUUUAUUGGUUUUAGGUUGGGGUGACCACGGAGAAAAAUUAAACCUCCACGAUGAAAGGAUCUUAAUCCUAAUCUACGAGCUACUACUCCAAGAAUCAACAAUUUGACAUAAUAUGAUCCGAUAACGAUCAACGAACCAAGUUACCCUGGGGAUAACAGCGCAAUCCAUUUCAAGAGCCCUUAUCGACAAAUGGGUUUACGACCUCGAUGUUGGAUCAGGGUAUCCUAGUGGUGCAGCCGCUACUAAAGGUUGUU
rnacentral:misc_RNA from 1 species